GACGAACGCUGGCGGCGUGCUUAACACAUGCAAGUCGAACGGAAAGGCCCUGCUUUUGUGGGGUGCUCGAGUGGCGAACGGGUGAGUAACACGUGAGUAACCUGCCCUUGACUUUGGGAUAACUUCAGGAAACUGGGGCUAAUACCGGAUAGGAGCUCCUGCUGCAUGGUGGGGGUUGGAAAGUUUCGGCGGUUGGGGAUGGACUCGCGGCUUAUCAGCUUGUUGGUGGGGUAGUGGCUUACCAAGGCUUUGACGGGUAGCCGGCCUGAGAGGGUGACCGGCCACAUUGGGACUGAGGUACGGCCCAGACUCCUACGGGAGGCAGCAGUGGGGAAUAUUGCACAAUGGGCGGAAGCCUGAUGCAGCAACGCCGCGUGCGGGAUGACGGCCUUCGGGUUGUAAACCGCUUUCGCCUGUGACGAAGCGUGAGUGACGGUAAUGAGUAAAGAAGCACCGGCUAACUACGUG
rnacentral:rRNA from 1 species